rnacentral:tRNA from 1 species
GGAUUGUGACUCAAUGGUAGAGCACUUGCCUAGCACGUGUGAGGCCCUGGGUUCAAUCUUCAGCACCA